UAACACCUGGAAACAGAUGCUAAUACCGGAUAACAACAGAUGAUGCCUAUCAACUGUUUAAAAGAUGGUUCUGCUAUCACUCUUGGAUGGACCUGCGGUGCAUUAGCUAGUUGGUAGGGUAACGGCCUACCAAGGCGAUGAUGCAUAGCCGAGUUGAGAGACUGAUCGGCCACAUUGGGACUGAGACACGGCCCAAACUCCUACGGGAGGCAGCAGUA
rnacentral:rRNA from 1 species